ACAAAUUAUCCAAAAACAUAUUAAAAUAAGUAUAAGUCAAUAAAAGCGACCGUGUUAGAACCACGGGACUCGAGGGAUGCCUAAUACCUUCCCCUCGGUCAACAGAAUUCCUUACCUGAAUUUCUAGUUCGUAGACCAAAACUAAAAGAGUCAUUUCCUAUUGAUUAGGGAUUCGAAAAGGUGACUUGGAACACCACAACUCAAUUCCAAGUGGCGACUCUGAAAAAUUAAAACAAUCCAUUAAUCAAUACCGUCACUUAAAUUGGAAAAAACCCUUCCACCUCUGUGCGCAAAAAGGGGUGUGACA
rnacentral:lncRNA from 1 species